GACGAACGCUGGCGGCGUGCUUAACACAUGCAAGUCGAACGGAAAGGCCUGCUUUCCCUUGUGGAUUGCGGGUGCUCGAGUGGCGAACGGGUGAGUAACACGUGAGUGAUCUGCCCCCAACUUGGGUAUAAGCCUGGGAAACUGGGUCUAAUUCCCGAUAGGACUGCAGGGUGGUUCCUGUGGUUGAAAACGAUUUUCUAGUGGUUGGGGAUGAGCUGGCGGCCUAUCAGCUUGUUGGUGGGGUAAUGGCCUACCAAGGCGGCGACGGGUAGCCGGCCUGGGGGGGUGGACGGCAACGUUGGGACUGAGAUACGGCCCAGACUCCUACGGCAGGAAGCAGUGGGGAAGAAUGAACGAUGGGCGGAACACUGAGGCAGCGACCCUGAGGGGGGGAUGACGGGCGUCGGGUGGUAAACUCCUGGCGGCAGAGAGGAAGCCACCUGGUUGGAAGGGUGGUGACGGUAGUGGUAGAAGAAGCACCGGCUAACUACGUG
rnacentral:rRNA from 1 species